CAGACACUUGCCAAAAGUCACGCAGCGAAUUCCUAUCAGAACCGCUUUUACUGCCUCCCCCGGCGACGUUCCCGGCCCGCCAACGUUUCUUUCGUCCUUACAAGGCCAGCUUCCACCCGCUGCUUUUGUGUAAAUAAAGCCUGGCCUUCUGCCUGCAGGUUGCCGCCAGAAGCCGGCCGGUGGGGGAAGGGUUCGGAACCGGUACGACCGCCUCAGCCGCGCCGGGAGAGGCCGAGAGUCCGCCACGCUCAGCCGUCGCGCGGGGGCGGUACUCCGGGCCCCCCAGGAUGAGCCGAGCCGAGAAACCCAGCACGAGAAAGUCCCCACCCACCUGCACCCUCUUCCGUGGGUCACCCCGCGCGUGGCAGGCCCUUGACAAAUAUCGUCCUGAAUUCUCCCCGCGAUCCUGGGAGUAUCCUCCCCAUUUUAUAGACGAGAGACUGAGGCUUACCAAGUGUAAGGGGCUUGACCGAGGUCCCAUAGGCGAAAAAAGUGGCAAACCAAGAACUUCUAACCGAAUAUAUCUGGCUGCAAAAUCCAGUCUUCUCCCAUCCCACCGGUCACCAGUGAGACUGUAAAGGUCUUAAAGGAGAAGAAUAAGAAAAAAAAUAACCACACGAAUCAGAUUAACAGAUCGUAAGGAAUUGAAAGGGCCUUCCAGAGCUGCUGGUAUUUCAAACAAGUGGACUCGAACCACAGGAUAAGUAACAAACUACUUUUCCUGGGUGACCAAUCAUACUUUUUUUUUAAUUAAAAAUAUAUUUAUUAAAAUAGAUUACGAUGGAGAAGAAUAUAAUUUUCAAAAUAAUGAUAGCUGAAAACAGAAGACUUAAAAGAAAUGUCAGGCUGUUUCCACCUCGCACACCUUUCGUUCGAUUGCACACACAUUCUUGACAUCAAGUACAUAAACAGGCAAACUGAGGCCCGAAACCAGUCCCAC
rnacentral:lncRNA from 1 species